rnacentral:lncRNA from 1 species
ACACACCAAACCAUUCAUUAAAAGUUCAUACGAUCAAAAGCUACCCAGAGUUUCUCGCAGGAACUCUGGAUUAGUUGAACUAAACCGCCAAUCGCGACUUGUGAUAUCGAAGCGAAGAAGAAGCAAAGAGCGCAGGAGGACGAAGCGAGGAAGAGAGCAGAGAAAUACCUGAAGCAGAGGAAAUCUCCCAUUCUCUUUGUCGGUAUCCUUUCACAUCUAUUCAUUUCGUGUUGAAACCUCUAACAUGGUUGUUAUUUGUUCAAAUUUGAGUUUGCAUUUCAAUUUCCACCGCAAUACGUAACGACUCGGUAACCAUUGGACGAGAGUAUCAAUCUCGAUUGUUGUUUAGGUUAUUUUCCUGAACUCUUUGCAUUUUAGGUUUAUCGGUCUGUAUACGAUUUGGUUGAGUUGUAUAAUUUGGGGAAAUUUGGGGAAUUAGGGUAUGAUUGGUGGCCGCUAAGGCAUGUUUGGCUUUGAAGCUCAUAGAUGAAUGAGACUGUUGUUCUUUUAGGAUCGAGAUCAACUCCACUAUUUUAAAAAACUUUCCUACCUACUUCAACUAUUUAAUAUAUUGUAAAAUUCUCUCAGAAUAUGUAGCGAGUAAUUAAACAAUGUAGUAUAUAUUAUACAAUAUUUAAUAUAUUGUAAUGAAAAAAUUAAGUACCCAAAUAAAAUCAAUGUAUUGGUUUAAUUUAAUUUUAAUUCUGUUGUUGACAAUUUUAAUUUAAUUUUAAAUUCUUUAAUGUUUGAGCUCAGUUUACCCUCCCUCCGGACCCAGGUUAUCAUUUCCAGAGGUAGACGCUGUAUUGUUUUCACUCUUCAAUCGCAGUUUCAAUCACCGGAAUCACACGAAUCACGAUUCUCUUCAGUGUCGUCGGAACCUCAUCGACUAGGUUAGUUGCCAAUGUUAAUCUACCCUUAUCACUUCUUAUUGUUUUUUCCACCUUCAAUUUUGAUAUAUUUUAGGUUAAUUUCACAUAGGUUGUAAAUCGUGGCUGAGGAAGAAGAAUCGAUUUCAUUGAACGCUG